rnacentral:rRNA from 1 species
AGAGUUUGAUCAUGGCUCAGGACGAACGCUGGCGGCGUGCCUAAUACAUGCAAGUAGAACGCUGACUACUUUAGCUUGCUAGAGUAGAAGGAGUUGCGAACGGGUGAGUAACGCGUAGGUAACCUGCCUACUAGCGGGGGAUAACUAUUGGAAACGAUAGCUAAUACCGCAUAACAGUGUUUAACACAUGUUAGAUGCUUGAAAGAUGCAAAUGCAUCACUAGUAGAUGGACCUGCGUUGUAUUAGCUAGUUGGUGGGGUAACGGCCUACCAAGGCGACGAUACAUAGCCGACCUGAGAGGGUGAUCGGCCACACUGGGACUGAGACACGGCCCAGACUCCUACGGGAGGCAGCAGUAGGGAAUCUUCGGCAAUGGGGGCAACCCUGACCGAGCAACGCCGCGUGAGUGAAGAAGGUUUUCGGAUCGUAAAGCUCUGUUGUAAGAGAAGAACGUGUGUGAGAGUGGAAAGUUCACACAGUGACGGUAACUUACCAGAAAGGGACGGCUAACUACGUGCCAGCAGCCGCGGUAAUACGUAGGUCCCGAGCGUUGUCCGGAUUUAUUGGGCGUAAAGCGAGCGCAGGCGGUUUAAUAAGUCUGAAGUUAAAGGCAGUGGCUUAACCAUUGUUCGCUUUGGAAACUGUUAAACUUGAGUGCAGAAGGGGAGAGUGGAAUUCCAUGUGUAGCGGUGAAAUGCGUAGAUAUAUGGAGGAACACCGGUGGCGAAAGCGGCUCUCUGGUCUGUAACUGACGCUGAGGCUCGAAAGCGUGGGGAGCAAACAGGAUUAGAUACCCUGGUAGUCCACGCCGUAAACGAUGAGUGCUAGGUGUUAGGCCCUUUCCGGGGCUUAGUGCCGCAGCU